rnacentral:rRNA from 1 species
GGGUUGUGAGGUUAAGCGACUAAGCGUACACGGUGGAUGCCCUGGCAGUCAGAGGCGAUGAAGGACGUGCUAAUCUGCGAUAAGCGUCGGUAAGGUGAUAUGAACCGUUAUAACCGGCGAUUUCCGAAUGGGGAAACCCAGUGUGUUUCGACACACUAUCAUUAACUGAAUCCAUAGGUUAAUGAGGCGAACCGGGGGAACUGAAACAUCUAAGUACCCCGAGGAAAAGAAAUCAACCGAGAUUCCCCCAGUAGCGGCGAGCGAACGGGGAGCAGCCCAGAGCCUGAAUCAGUGUGUGUGUUAGUGGAAGCGUCUGGAAAGGCGCGCGAUACAGGGUGACAGCCCCGUACACAAAAAUGCACAUGCUGUGAGCUCGAUGAGUAGGGCGGGACACGUGGUAUCCUGUCUGAAUAUGGGGGGACCAUCCUCCAAGGCUAAAUACUCCUGACUGACCGAUAGUGAACCAGUACCGUGAGGGAAAGGCGAAAAGAACCCCGGCGAGGGGAGUGAAAAAGAACCUGAAACCGUGUACGUACAAGCAGUGGGAGCACGCUUAGGCGUGUGACUGCGUACCUUUUGUAUAAUGGGUCAGCGACUUAUAUUCUGUAGCAAGGUUAACCGAAUAGGGGAGCCGAAGGGAAACCGAGUCUUAACUGGGCGUUAAGUUGCAGGGUAUAGACCCGAAACCCGGUGAUCUAGCCAUGGGCAGGUUGAAGGUUGGGUAACACUAACUGGAGGACCGAACCGACUAAUGUUGAAAAAUUAGCGGAUGACUUGUGGCUGGGGGUGAAAGGCCAAUCAAACCGGGAGAUAGCUGGUUCUCCCCGAAAGCUAUUUAGGUAGCGCCUCGUGAAUUCAUCUCCGGGGGUAGAGCACUGUUUCGGCAAGGGGGUCAUCCCGACUUACCAACCCGAUGCAAACUGCGAAUACCGGAGAAUGUUAUCACGGGAGACACACGGCGGGUGCUAACGUCCGUCGUGAAGAGGGAAACAACCCAGACCGCCAGCUAAGGUCCCAAAGUCAUGGUUAAGUGGGAAACGAUGUGGGAAGGCCCAGACAGCCAGGAUGUUGGCUUAGAAGCAGCCAUCAUUUAAAGAAAGCGUAAUAGCUCACUGGUCGAGUCGGCCUGCGCGGAAGAUGUAACGGGGCUAAACCAUGCACCGAAGCUGCGGCAGCGACGCUUAUGCGUUGUUGGGUAGGGGAGCGUUCUGUAAGCCUGCGAAGGUGUGCUGUGAGGCAUGCUGGAGGUAUCAGAAGUGCGAAUGCUGACAUAAGUAACGAUAAAGCGGGUGAAAAGCCCGCUCGCCGGAAGACCAAGGGUUCCUGUCCAACGUUAAUCGGGGCAGGGUGAGUCGACCCCUAAGGCGAGGCCGAAAGGCGUAGUCGAUGGGAAACAGGUUAAUAUUCCUGUACUUGGUGUUACUGCGAAGGGGGGACGGAGAAGGCUAUGUUGGCCGGGCGACGGUUGUCCCGGUUUAAGCGUGUAGGCUGGUUUUCCAGGCAAAUCCGGAAAAUCAAGGCUGAGGCGUGAUGACGAGGCACUACGGUGCUGAAGCAACAAAUGCCCUGCUUCCAGGAAAAGCCUCUAAGCAUCAGGUAACAUCAAAUCGUACCCCAAACCGACACAGGUGGUCAGGUAGAGAAUACCAAGGCGCUUGAGAGAACUCGGGUGAAGGAACUAGGCAAAAUGGUGCCGUAACUUCGGGAGAAGGCACGCUGAUAUGUAGGUGAAGUCCCUCGCGGAUGGAGCUGAAAUCAGUCGAAGAUACCAGCUGGCUGCAACUGUUUAUUAAAAACACAGCACUGUGCAAACACGAAAGUGGACGUAUACGGUGUGACGCCUGCCCGGUGCCGGAAGGUUAAUUGAUGGGGUUAGCGCAAGCGAAGCUCUUGAUCGAAGCCCCGGUAAACGGCGGCCGUAACUAUAACGGUCCUAAGGUAGCGAAAUUCCUUGUCGGGUAAGUUCCGACCUGCACGAAUGGCGUAAUGAUGGCCAGGCUGUCUCCACCCGAGACUUAGUGAAAUUGAACUCGCUGUGAAGAUGCAGUGUACCCGCGGCAAGACGGAAAGACCCCGUGAACCUUUACUAUAGCUUGACACUGAACAUUGAGCCUUGAUGUGUAGGAUAGGUGGGAGGCUUUGAAGUGUGGACGCCAGUCUGCAUGGAGCCGACCUUGAAAUACCACCCUUUAAUGUUUGAUGUUCUAACGUGGACCCGUAAUCCGGGUUGCGGACAGUGUCUGGUGGGUAGUUUGACUGGGGCGGUCUCCUCCUAAAGAGUAACGGAGGAGCACGAAGGUUGGCUAAUCCUGGUCGGACAUCAGGAGGUUAGUGCAAUGGCAUAAGCCAGCUUGACUGCGAGCGUGACGGCGCGAGCAGGUGCGAAAGCAGGUCAUAGUGAUCCGGUGGUUCUGAAUGGAAGGGCCAUCGCUCAACGGAUAAAAGGUACUCCGGGGAUAACAGGCUGAUACCGCCCAAGAGUUCAUAUCGACGGCGGUGUUUGGCACCUCGAUGUCGGCUCAUCACAUCCUGGGGCUGAAGUAGGUCCCAAGGGUAUGGCUGUUCGCCAUUUAAAGUGGUACGCGAGCUGGGUUUAGAACGUCGUGAGACAGUUCGGUCCCUAUCUGCCGUGGGCGCUGGAGAACUGAGGGGGGCUGCUCCUAGUACGAGAGGACCGGAGUGGACGCAUCACUGGUGUUCGGGUUGUCAUGCCAAUGGCACUGCCCGGUAGCUAAAUGCGGAAGAGAUAAGUGCUGAAAGCAUCUAAGCACGAAACUUGCCCCGAGAUGAGUUCUCCCUGACUCCUUGAGAGUCCUGAAGGAACGUUGAAGACGACGACGUUGAUAGGCCGGGUGUGUAAGCGCAGCGAUGCGUUGAGCUAACCGGUACUAAUGAACCGUGAGGCUUAACCUUACAACGCCGAAGGUGUUU